GAAAUUGUAACUUAGGACGAGAGGGCUCAUGGGAGCACAGAGGAAGGCCAGCCCACCCGGAGACCAGCGAUGGCCUCCCUGAGGACCGGCCUUGCAAAAGAGGAGGUGGAGCCCAGAGUGGGGGCCAGUGUAGUUAAGAAGGCAUUCCAGCUGGAGCCACUAACCCCACCCAGCAGGCAUGGAGAGAGGAGCUGGGAGGACUGCGGGGAGUGGGGACGUGUGCACGCCCACCCCCAAUCCCGGACUGCUUCCCCAUCUCUGUGUGGUAAAUAUGGGGCAGCUGGGGUGGAAGCGAUGUCAGGAGGUGGCAGGCAAGCGCAAAUGCCAAGCAUCUGA
rnacentral:lncRNA from 1 species